rnacentral:misc_RNA from 1 species
UUUCCGUAGGUGAACCUGCGGAAGGAUCAUUAUUGGAUUUUGAAACUUCAGGCUGCUGCUGGCUCUCCUCGGAGGGCAUGUGCACGCUUGUUGUCCAUUAUUUCUCCCACUGUGCACAAAUUGUAGACCUUUCAGUAGGCCUAUGUUGGUUUUCACAAUCUCUGAAUGUAAUAGAAUGGUUUUGAAUCUUGGGAAAUACAAUACAACUUUCAGCAACGGAUCUCUUGGCUCUCGCAUCGAUGAAAAACGCAGC